rnacentral:rRNA from 1 species
GACGAACGCUGGCGGCGUGCUUAACACAUGCAAGUCGAACGCUGAAGCUCAGCUUGCUGGGUGGAUGAGUGGCGAACGGGUGAGUAACACGUGAGUAACCUGCCCUCUUCUUUGGGAUAACGCCCGGAAACGGGUGCUAAUACUGGAUAUUCACUGAUUCUCGCAUGGGGGUUGGUGGAAAGGUUUUUUCUGGUGGGGGAUGGGCUCGCGGCCUAUCAGCUUGUUGGUGGGGUGAUGGCCUACCAAGGCUUUGACGGGUAGCCGGCCUGAGAGGGUGACCGGUCACAUUGGGACGGAGAUACGGCCCAGACUCCUACGGGAGGCAGCAGUGGGGAAUAUUGCACAAUGGGCGAAAGCCUGAUGCAGCGACGCCGCGUGAGGGAUGGAGGCCUUCGGGUUGUAAACCUCUUUCGCUCAUGGUCAAGCCGCAGCUUUGGGUUGUGGUGAGGGUAGUGGGUAAAGAAGCGCCGGCUAACUACGUG